UUAGAUGUUGAUGAACGUUAGUAAGGUAUGAUAUGUAAUUAUCAAUAAACUGUAAAGAAUGGUAUGAAGAAGAAUGAAUGGUCCAAAUUUGAAUCGGAUAACGAACGCAAAAAGAAACGUAAACGUAAAACACUUAAACUAACGUGAAGGUGUUGAGCGUAAGCAAAAAUUAAAUGUGCCUAACCUACACACCGUGUAUGGUUUGAAUGUGAGAUAACGAAGAGUAAUGAAUAACGUAUAAUGUUAAGAAACCGAGUUAAUGAUAAUAAUUCAAAUAAUGUUCUGAGUUAAAUUAACCGAACAUUAUAAGAUAUGAAGAUCAGGUAAUGUAAAAUGUGUAAAGGCUAUGAACGCAUAGUCUUAACAUUGAAUGUUGUUCUUGGCAUACACAACAUUGUGCGACUUAGACGUUAUUGAAUAAUCCUGAGGUUUCACAUUUAUUUGUUAGAAAGCCAUAAGGAAUGAUAAUUGACUUGACGAACAUUACAGUUAUAAUGUUCGUACAAGUUAAGUAAUAAAGAAAGAAAGAGUAUUAUAAAUCCAUCAUAUAAGAUGAUGGUAAGACUUAAGACAUCUCCAUAUGUCUUAACACCAAAAGAAGGUCAACAAAGUUAGUUUCGUGGACUUAAGUAAUAAAGCGCGAACCAUAAGAAUGAAAGAUUAAGAUUAAACCAAUAUGCGAGUCAAAUAUAUGACUAAUUCGUGUAUGUUAUUCCUUAUGUGAUAUAUAGGAAUUACGAAGAAUGGUAUAGCGUAAGCAAUAUGCAGCACAUAAGGAAAGUUUCCUAACUUCAUUCAUAUUUGAAUGAAUGCUACUUUCUUAAACUUUCUCAGAUGUUGAACUUGAGAAAGUUUUACCUGUGUGCAAAUAUCUUAUGUUUGUACAAGGUGGUAGAAUGCAUGAGGCCAUGUGCCAUAUUUUUAACACUUUAGUGUUUCUGUGAGAUGAACUAUUCUGUGAUUGAACUGUUCAAUAUGAAAGAGUUCUUUUUACUCAUAAACUGUAUGUGUUAAGUCUAUGUUAAUGAUUCUAUCUAGACAGAAUGUAAAGAAAAGAGUAGAAGAAUUGAUGUUUUAUCAAAGUGAAUGUGACUAAUGUUUUAAAAUGAUAGGGAUCAGAAUAUAUUCAUGUUAUUCAAGCUGCUUCAUAACCUUUGUUCGGUUAUUAAAGUUUUUAAAAGAAUAUGUGAUUCUUGAUGUUUUGUGAUUCAACUGCUAUGACUUGCUGAG
rnacentral:lncRNA from 1 species